rnacentral:rRNA from 1 species
GACGAACGCUGGCGGCGUGCUUAACACAUGCAAGUCGAACGGAAAGGCCCUGCUUUUGUGGGGUGCUCGAGUGGCGAACGGGUGAGUAACACGUGAGUAACCUGCCCUUGACUUUGGGAUAACUUCAGGAAACUGGGGCUAAUACCGGAUAGGAGCUCCUGCCGCAUGGUGGGGGUUGGAAAGUUUCGGCGGUUGGGGAUGGACUCGCGGCUUAUCAGCUUGUUGGUGGGGUAGUGGCUUACCAAGGCUUUGACGGGUAGCCGGCCUGAGAGGGUGACCGGCCACAUUGGGACUGAGAUACGGCCCAGACUCCUACGGGAGGCAGCAGUGGGGAAUAUUGCACAAUGGGCGGAAGCCUGAUGCAGCAACGCCGCGUGCGGGAUGACGGCCUUCGGGUUGUAAACCGCUUUCGCCUGUGACGAAGCGUGAGUGACGGUAAUGGGUAAAGAAGCACCGGCUAACUACGUGCCAGCAGCCGCGGUGAUACGUAGGGUGCGAGCGUUGUCCGGAUUUAUUGGGCGUAAAGGGCUCGUAGGUGGUUGAUCGCGUCGGAAGUGUAAUCUUGGGGCUUAACCCUGAGCGUGCUUUCGAUACGGGUUGACUUGAGGAAGGUAGGGGAGAAUGGAAUUCCUGGUGGAGCGGUGGAAUGCGCAGAUAUCAGGAGGAACACCAGUGGCGAAGGCGGUUCUCUGGGCCUUUCCUGACGCUGAGGAGCGAAAGCGUGGGGAGCGAACAGGCUUAGAUACCCUGGUAGUCCACGCUGUAAACGGUGGGUACUAGGUGUGGGGUCCAUUCCACGGGUUCCGUGCCGUAGCUAACGCUUUAAGUACCCCGCCUGGGGAGUACGGCCGCAAGGCUAAAACUCAAAGGAAUUGACGGGGCCCCGCACAAGCGGCGGAGCAUGCGGAUUAAUUCGAUGCAACGCGUAGAACCUUACCUGGGUUUGACAUGGAUCGGGAGUGCUCAGAGAUGGGUGUGCCUCUUUUGGGGUCGGUUCACAGGUGGUGCAUGGCUGUCGUCAGCUCGUGUCGUGAGAUGUUGGGUUAAGUCCCGCAACGAGCGCAACCCCUGUUCACUGUUGCCAGCACGUUAUGGUGGGGACUCAGUGGAGACCGCCGGGGUCAACUCGGAGGAAGGUGGGGAUGACGUCAAGUCAUCAUGCCCCUUAUGUCCAGGGCUUCACGCAUGCUACAAUGGCUGGUACAGAGAGUGGCGAGCCUGUGAGGGUGAGCGAAUCUCGGAAAGCCGGUCUCAGUUCGGAUUGGGGUCUGCAACUCGACCUCAUGAAGUCGGAGUCGCUAGUAAUCGCAGAUCAGCAACGCUGCGGUGAAUACGUUCCCGGG